CAGCCGCCGCGGUAAUACGAAGGGGGCUAGCGUUGUUCGGAUUUACUGGGCGUAAAGCGCACGUAGGCGGAUCGUUAAGUCGGGGGUGAAAUCCUGGAGCUCAACUCCAGAACUGCCUUCGAUACUGGCGAUCUUGAGUCCGGAAGAGGUGAGUGGAACUCCUAGUGUAGAGGUGGAAUUCGUAGAUAUUGGGAAGAACACCGAUGGCGAAGGCAGCCAUCUGGACCGACACUGACGCUGAGGCGCGAAAGCGUGGGGAGCAAACAGGAUUAGAUACCCUGGUAGUCCACGCCGUAAACGAUGAGUGCUAGACGUUGGGGCCCUUAGGGCUUCGGUGUCGCAGCUAACGCAUUAAGCACUCCGCCUGGGGAGUACGGCCGCAAGGUUAAAACUCAAAGGAAUUGACGG
rnacentral:rRNA from 1 species